rnacentral:lncRNA from 1 species
GCAGAUAAUUUUGUUGUCAACGGUUAUCUUAGUCUGACCUCAGUCACAAACUGUUUUCAUAAGUGAUGUAAUAUGAAAUAUAUGAUACAACGCAGGAGGAGGAUAUAAGGUAAACUUUGUUUGCAAAAGAGGGGCGAAAGAUACCAGAGGGACAGAUCGAAAAUAAACUGACAACGCCAUGGCUAAAAAAAAAAGACAAACAGACAAAUGAUAGUACACAUGACACAACAUAGAAAACUAAAAACUUAGCAACAC